UACGUAGGGUGCGAGCGUUGUCCGGAAUUAUUGGGCGUAAAGAGCUCGUAGGCGGUGUGUCGCGUCGGCCGUGAAAACCUAGGGCUUAACUCUGGGCGUGCAGUGGGUACGGGCAGGCUAGAGUGCGGUAGGGGAGACUGGAAUUCCUGGUGUAAGCGGUGAAAUGCGCAGAUAUCAGGAGGAACACCGGUGGCGAAGGCGGGUCUCUGGGCCGUAACUGACGCUGAGGAGCGAAAGCAUGGGGAGCGAACAGG
rnacentral:rRNA from 1 species